UACGGAGGGUGCAAGCGUUAUUCGGAAUCACUGGGCGUAAAGGACGCGUAGGCGGGUUGGCAAGUCAGAUGUGAAAUCCUACAGCUUAACUGUAGAACUGCAUUUGAAACUGCUAACCUAGAGUAUGGGAGGGGGAGAUGGAAUUAGUGGUGUAGGGGUAAAAUCCGUAGAUAUCACUAGGAAUACCGAAAGCGAAGGCGAUCUCCUGGAACAUAACUGACGCUAAGGCGUGAAAGCGUGGGGAGCAAACAGGAUUAGAUACCCUAGUAGUCC
rnacentral:rRNA from 1 species